rnacentral:rRNA from 1 species
UACGUAGGGUGCGAGCGUUGUCCGGAAUUAUUGGGCGUAAAGAGCUCGUAGGCGGUGUGUCACGUCGUUCGUGAAAACCUGCAGCUUAACUGUGGGCGUGCGGUCGAUACGGGCAUCACUGGAGUUCGGCAGGGGAGACUGGAAUUCCUGGUGUAGCGGUGAAAUGCGCAGAUAUCAGGAGGAACACCGGUGGCGAAGGCGGGUCUCUGGGCCAGCACUGACGCUCAUGCACGAAAGCGUGGGGAGCAAACAGG